GCACAGACUAGGCUGGGGGGUUAGGCGUCCCCUGUAACCGGAAAUCGCCUUCGCCGGAGCCGAAGCCGCCAAGGCGAUGCAUGAAAUGCGCUCUGAUCCAGCCCUGGACAAUGAUGUUCCGUCCCUCAGGACCGAGGGUGGCUGGCAGACAGCUGGAGGGCUGUUAUGCCAGUCUUUAUCCUGGACAAAGGGUUAGGCCCGGAAGGGAGCGGCCCACCCAGGAACCAUCGGUGCUUGAGGGGGCGCGGAGCUGAGGAAAGGGCUGGGGCAAAUCAGGGUUCGUUUCGCAUCCACUUGGCGGCGCGUCUGUGC
rnacentral:SRP_RNA from 1 species